rnacentral:rRNA from 1 species
AUUGAACGCUGGCGGCAUGCCUUACACAUGCAAGUCGAACGGCAGCACGGGAGCAAUCCUGGUGGCGAGUGGCGAACGGGUGAGUAAAGUAUCGGAACGUGCCCAAUCGUGGGGGAUAACGUAGCGAAAGUUACGCUAAUACCGCAUACGAUCUAUGAAUGAAAGCGGGGGAUCGCAAGACCUCGCGCGAUUGGGGCGGCCGAUAUCAGAUUAGGUAGUUGGUGGGGUAAAGGCUCACCAAGCCGACGAUCUGUAGCUGGUCUGAGAGGACGACCAGCCACACUGGGACUGAGACACGGCCCAGACUCCUACGGGAGGCAGCAGUGGGGAAUUUUGGACAAUGGGCGAAAGCCUGAUCCAGCCAUGCCGCGUGCAGGAUGAAGGCCUUCGGGUUGUAAACUGCUUUUGUACGGAACGAAAAGGUUUGGCCUAAUAAGCUGAGCUCAUGACGGUACCGUAAAAAUAAGCACCGGCUAACUACGUGCCAGCAGCCGCCGCGG